AAUGCGUUUUGAGAUGGUCCUGCGGCCUAUCAGCUAGUUGGUGGGAUAACAGCCUACCAAGGCUAUGACGGGUAUCCGGCCUGAAAGGGUGAACGGACACACUGGAACUGAGACACGGUCCAGACUCCUACGGGAGGCAGCAGUGGGGAAUUUUGGACAAUGGGGGCAACCCUGAUCCAGCGACGCCGCGUGGAGGACGAAGGUCUUCGGAUUGUAAACUCCUUUUAGAGGGAAAGAAAAAAAUGACGGUACCCUCAGAAAAAGCCACGGCUAACUACGUGCCAGCAGCCGCGGUAAUACGUAGGUGGCGAGCGUUACUCGGAAUUACUAGGCGUAAAGCGUAUGUAGGCGGUCGGAUAAGUCAUUAGUGAAAUUUCUCUGCUUAACAGGGAAGGGUCUAAUGAUACUGUUUGACUUGAGUGUUGGAGAGGGAGACGGAAUUCCUGGUGUAGCGGUGGAAUGCGUAGAUAUCAGGAGGAACACCGAUGGCGUAAGCAGUUUCCUGGACAAAUACUGACGCUAAUGUACGAAAGCUAGGGGAGCAAACAGGAUUAGAUACCCUGGUAGUCCUAGCUGUAAACGAUGUUCACUAGAUGUGGGAGGUAUCGACCCCUCCCGCGUCGUCGCUAACGCAUUAAGUGAAUCGCCUGGGGAGUACGGCCGCAAGGUUAAAACUCAAAGGAAUUGACGGGGACUCGCACAAGCGGUGGACUAUGUGGUUUAAUUCGACGUAACGCGAAGAACCUUACCUGGGCUUGAACUGCUAAUGGUAAAAGCUGGAAACAGUAAUGACCCGCAAGGGAGUUAGUAGAGGUGCUGCAUGGCUGUCGUCAGCUCGUGUCGUGAGAUGUUGGGUUAAGUCCUGCAACGAGCGCAACCCUUAUCCCAUGUUAUCUGUAGCAAUACAGAGUCUCUGAGGAAACUGCCAUUGAUAAAAUGGAGGAAGGUGGGGACGACGUCAAGUCAUCAUGGCCUUUAUGUCCAGGGCUACACACGUAGUACAAUGGCCGGUACAGAGGGUGGCGAUAUCGUAAGGUGGAGCAAAUCCCUAAAAGCCGGCCCCAGUUCAGAUUGUGGGCUGAAAUUCGCCCACAUGAAGUAGGAAUC
rnacentral:rRNA from 1 species